AUGGGUGUCACCAUGCAUCUAUUCCCACCCCUGCUCCUCUUGCCCGGGGACCCUGGGGUGCAGCUUCAGUGUCUGAGCACGGCUGGAGCGGACCCUGAAGGGUUUGGGGGCACCCAGCACAGUGCUCUGUCCGAGACAGAGACGCAGGAAGUCCUGCUUUCCCGGGGGCCACCUUGGAGAGGCUCAGAAAGGCAUGGGGUAGGGCCCGGGGCAGAAGGGCCACCCCUCAACCGACCUGGAGCCAGGGCUGUGAGGGGGCUCAGUGAGACCUCUGCGGGGACGCGUUCAGGGCUGGGAGUGGGGCGGGGGUGUAAGAAGAGUGGUGUCGCUGGCUGCAGGACAGCUGCUGGCUGGGUUUGGGGUAAGGAGAGAGGAGGGCACGUGUGGAGUCCCCGAAGGCCUCUGCCCCAUGGCGCCUGGUGGCAGUGGGACAGGGCUGCCCUGGGCCAGUGCACAGGCUGCUUUCCAGCUCUGAUGCCCCUCCUGCCCCUCCAAGAGCCCCACUGGCCCGGGGCUUGGAGCGGAGCUCCGGGACCUGGGGCCGCAUGGCGAACGGGAAAAGCUGCGGCCGCUUGUUCGAAAGCUGAGAGUGUUCACGAUGGUGCGCAACGGAGCACAAACCAAGCACCUGUCCCUCUGGGGACAUGGCCUGCAUGGCCGCACAGGGCCCAGCCUCCCAUGGCUGUCGUAGUGGGUGCGCUGUGUGGAGAAGGAGCAGGCAGGGGUCGCUGUUGCAGCUCCGUGGGUUCAGCCAGUGCCUGUGACACCGGCAUCCCAUAUUGGAGCACAGAUUCGAGUCCUGGCUGCUCCCUUAACGUCCAGCCAGCACCUGGGAAGGCGGGGGAAGAUGGCUCAAGUACUUGGGCCCCUGCCACCCACAUGGGAGAUCUGGGUUCCUGGCUCCUGGCUUCAUCUUGGCCCAGAUCUGGCUGUUGUGCCAUUUGGGGGAGUGAACCAGCAAAUGGAAGAUUCUCUCUCUCUCUCUCUCUCUCUCUCUCUCUCUGUAACUCUGCCAUUCAAAUAAGUAAAAUAAAUCUUAAAAAAAAAAAAAAGAAAGAAAAGAGUCCAGAGAGAUCACGUAGGAGUUGUAGGGUGCCGCCUAGCCCCUCUCGGGCUCUGUGUGAUACUGUGGCAGCCUAA
rnacentral:lncRNA from 1 species